CCGAUUGGCCGGGGCGGCCGGCCAAUCACGCGCCGCGUUGUGUACGGCGCCAGAGGAAAUAAUCGAACAGUUGUCGCGGCGAUUGAGUGGGGGAGGAAGAGUAGAGUGGAAGAUCGGGCGCGCGAAGUCGCAGCGUGUAAAGGUGGAAAAAACGAGAAAAAAGAUACCCCGCCGACUUCCUCGUAGCUUCCUCGUAAUCGCGAUCGUGAUUGUCGUCGAGUUAACCCCGGCCGAUCGUCUUUCCACAUGCAGCAACGCGGAAUUCAAGCGACACGGUAGCCCAACGGACUCUUGGACUCUCGACCGGAAUGAAGUUAGGUCAUAAGGAAGAUUGGAGGCGAAGUCGUGAAAGGGGGGUUGGAGAAAAGAGAGAAAAAACAUAUUCUCGCCGACUUUCUCGUAGCUUCCUCGUAAUCGCGAUCGUGAUUGUCGUCGAAUUAAUCAGCGGUCCAUCGUGUUUCCACAUGCGCUCGACAUAUUGAUGAAAUAUAUUGAAGCGAUCAAGAUCGAACGGCCCAACAGACUUUUGGACUUUCGACCGGAAUGCACUUAGGUCAUUGCUGAGAGAUAAGCUGCGCUACGAAAUUCUCAAGUGCCGGACGUUGCUUCGUGCGAUUUUAAUUUUCGUAUCGUUUUUUUUUUCUCAUUGUGCAAUGUACGCGAAAUACGCGUGCGACUCACGCGUCGUGUCGGAAGUUCGGGAGUGCCGUGUUAAGUAUCGCGCGUCGGGAGUGCCGUAUAAAGUGUCGGGCGAUCGUAAUUAUUCGUGUUUUCGCGAGUGUCGUGAGUGCUACGAAGGACCAAAAGAGGAGGAGCAGGUCCGAGGAGGCAUCGGGCGACAGCGGGACAACUGUGAGAGCAAUGUGCUACAACUUCGCUAUUGCAUAUAUCGGUCUCGGACAUCCCAUGCUUAAUCAAAUCAGUCUGCGCUAAAGUCCUCGUCAUCGAGCGAAGUUCAUGCAUCUUCCUGGCGCCACGCAGCACUUAAUAUCAUGACGACAUUGUAUAUGAAUCUCUGUCGUUGUGCAUCACCGGUAUUCGAUCAUAAUAAUGUAGUCAUCCGUGGCCAGCGUGUUUAGAAGAAGUUUCGGAGGUUUACACACCAUGAAUUAUAUCCAUAGAAUUUAUUCGUCUUCAGAAUAAAUCCGAGCAGGUGUUUCACCAGUGGGAAAAUCCGGAUGCACACGGUGGAUCAGAAACAUUGCGGAACAUGGGCCUGAUUGUCGUUUCAUUGCGAGCGGGGCGCAGGCAGCACACGUAAUGGACACACCGAACGUAUACCGGAUGGGGAUCGCCCCAUGUUCCAAGUAUUACAAGAGCGAUCUUCUGCGUGUCGAGACUGUCGAUGCGGCAAGGAAACCAUGCACGGGACGUCCCGCGCGAACCCCGUCAAGGUGUGGCGCCAAAGAAUCCGCAAAACGACCUUAAACACGACCUCGCCUAGGAUCGACAAAAGUCGCACGCAUCCACAGAUUUAGACAGGGCCGGAAACGUACAUGUGUGUGCGCGGAAUCUGUAAACAGUCUACAUUCCGAGUGUCAUCCCGAUCCUACUUCUUCAGUCAAUCGAUGUAAUUUAUGCAACAUUGUAAUAUAUAUUAAUUAUUUCAUAUAAAUAUAAUUUUAU